AUUGAACGCUGGCGGCAGGCCUAACACAUGCAAGUCGAGCGGUAACACAGAGGAGCUUGCUCCUUGGGUGACGAGCGGCGGACGGGUGAGUAAUGCCUGGGGAUCUGCCCGAUAGAGGGGGAGUAACUACGGGAACGUAGUAGCUAAUACCGCAUAAUGUCUACGGACCAAAGUGGGGCGUCUUCGGACCUCAUGCUAUCGGAUGAACCCA
rnacentral:rRNA from 1 species